AUAGAAAGAAUCAUCAAUUCGCUACAUAAUUACGUAUUGAUUGUAAAUAGCUAAUAAAUUAAAAAAGUAAUAACCAAUUUUAUAUUUCUUUCCAUAAAUAAUAUUAAUCAGCAUCUUCUAUUCUUGUCAUAUAUGAAGAAUAUUGUCAGCAACUAUGUGAGAUUUAUGUUCCUUUUGAAACCACUUAUUACCAUAAGAGCUGCUUUAAACGUGCAAGUGGGAAAGUACUAAAUGCCCUUUUCGUUCCACAGUGCAAGUUAUUGCGAUUUUCCUUAUAUUGAAGCGCAAUAUCAUUAUCACGUUCAUUCAUUGCGCAGGAUCAUUCAAAUUCUGCUAAGGGAUUUCUUAUCAAGAUAGCGGAGUUCAUUCGACAACAAAAGAUGACAAGGAACAAGGAAAACUGCAAUGAGUCCUUUCCAAUAAAAUUAAAACAAUACUACCUACAUGAUUUUAAUGAAUGACGAGAUAAAUUAGUACAACAAUAGAUACUUACUCUGGUGAGUUAUGCCUGAGUGCAGUAUUUCUUGCAUUUGACACCACUUCUGUAUCAUUUAUCUGCAGCGAAGCAAACGUGAAACACUUGAUUCAAAAUAUUUCAGAAAAAUCAACCAAGAUGGUAGAUCAAAAGUUCGCCUGUGUCACAUUAAUUUUAUUGGUUGUCGGUAGCUGUGUGAAUUCGCUGCCGAACGCGAGUGAGAAGAACGCGAGUGCAGAGACAACAAAAGGGCCUAUGUCCACCACUACCACCUCUGCACCAGUGGGCAAUGUCGUGGUGGUACCACCAAACUGCCCAAAAGGACAGGAGAUGUCUGCUGACGGGGUCUGUCGAGAAGUCUUUUGAACUCUAAAACCUGCAGGAAAUAUGCAAGAAACUCGGUACCCAUUCAUAUUCAAAUUCAGCGAUACCAACUUCGAGAUAAUUAAUGAGUUAUACUAAAACAAUGCAUUAUGUCAUUCCUCCACUUUUAUCAUACUAAUAAAUUAUAAGAAGG